AGUGACCACACCCUGCAAGCAAAGCACAAGAAAGCAAAUGAAUGACGCAACAUAACCUGUGAGGUUUCCUUUACCGGCAGUGAGGAAAAAUCUGGCCUGUCUCGCACCCUCAGAAAGGACACGUCGUUCCCCUGCAAGGUCUUUCCAACAGGCGGGAGCUUUCUGACGACAUGAUCCCACGGGUGGCAAAUUGGAAGAAGGCUCUUUAUCUGUUCUCUUUAAUUUACCUUAACGAUGAUGAUGUGAAAAUUGCAGACAAGGAAAUUUCAGCUAAGACAAUGUGCCACGACGUCUACUGAAUUGAAGGAAUGAUUAGCUGAAUCGUGAUAUGAGCUAAACACAGAAUUCAACCCAAGAGAAACUCUGAAACACGCCUCUUUGCCCCCCGACAACAGGGAAGUCGAGAUCUCGAUAUUUCCAACCUGCAAAAUGUCUCUCAAAGCACUACGUAAUCUUGGGCUGUGGUUCUGCAGACAACAUGAAGUUUCUGUAAAAAAUAUUUUGUUUUAAAAGCACGAGCCGCAAACACAACUGCAAUUCUAAAGCAAUGACAUGGGGAAUCCAGGGAUGUAAUUUUGCUUUGGAAUUCUAACUGCUAUGUUUCAAAUGGAAACACUGAAGCAUCCUCAUUAACAAACAGGGGUUUAAUGCAUUACUUUAUCAUUACUAAAUUAGAUGUACCUGCUUAGAAACAACUACCAUAAUUAUUCAGUACAUUUUACAUGGCUAAUUUUACCUGCAUUAAAAAGGUACAUUAUACAACAGAUGUUCUAAAUAACAGGAGAGCAUUCAGAGCUCUGACAGCCAAGGAUGGUUAAUGUCAAUCAUUGCUUCAGUAUUCUGGUCUCAUGGACUUCUAUCUUGUUAGCCUACAGCCUAGGUUUGGUCUGUAUAACUGCACACAUGUACGUGCUCAUAGUCACGUUGACUCACGCAAAGACCCCAUGUUGUGCUACUGCAGCAAAUGGGCAGCAAUUUCCAUCAAUGUCCAUUUAUUUUUCUCUCAUAACUUACCAAGGUUGCAAUUAGCUGUUGUUUUACAGACACAUUUUGGUGGCAGUUCAUACAACUGUGUGUGCUGGACCCUAACUCCAUUAGGAAAACAAUCUGUAAUCAAUGCGGUUUGCUCAAGGGUACAGCCGCUGUGCCCCACCUGCGAUACAGAGCCCUAACCCCCUAAAAUCAGUAUUGUUUCUGCAUACAGUACUGUGAAAAAGUAUUUUCUGAUGUUCUGCAUAUUUUCACGGCACUAUACUUGUGUACAUCUGUACUGGAUUCAGGACAUCCAUAUGAGCAAAGAGUACCAACUCCUUUUUCUCAUCUUUUUACUGUAUACCCAUCUACCCAUUUUCAUUCUGCUUUUCCUGGUAAUGGUCCCUGCGGCAGCACCAGACAUCGUUUUCCUCCACGACAUAUUCCAGCUCCUCCUGGGGAUUCCCCAGAACUCCCAGGCCAGGCCGGAGAUUUAGAUGCUCCGGCCUGUUCAAUUGGCCUGCAGCUUCUGCCCGGUGGGAUGUGCCUGGCAGAGCUCAAACAGAGGCCCCUAGGGGGCGUCCCCACCAGGGGCCUGAACUACCUAGGGGCGGAGCGAUGGCUCUGUGGCUCAGGAUCUGCGCCUGUGACUAGAAGGUUGCCAGUUCAACUCCCGCGGCCGGCAGAG